ensembl:snoRNA small nucleolar RNA SNORD56
AUGCAAUGAUGUUAACAUUUUGCGUCAACAGCAGCUCACCUAGUGAGUGUUGAUACUUUGGGUCUGAGUGG